UCAUAGAAGCCUAGGAGUUCUAAGGGUGCA
rnacentral:piRNA from 1 species